UGGGGAAUAUUGCACAAUGGGCGCAAGCCUGAUGCAGCCAUGCCGCGUGUGUGAAGAAGGCCUUCGGGUUGUAAAGCACUUUCAGCGGGGAGGAAGGCGUUAAGGUUAAUAACCUUGGCGAUUGACGUUACCCGCAGAAGAAGCACCGGCUAACUCCGUGCCAGCAGCCGCGGUAAUACGGAGGGUGCAAGCGUUAAUCGGAAUUACUGGGCGUAAAGCGCACGCAGGCGGUCUGUCAAGUCGGAUGUGAAAUCCCCGGGCUCAACCUGGGAACUGCAUUCGAAACUGGCAGGCUAGAGUCUUGUAGAGGGGGGUAGAAUUCCAGGUGAAGCGGUGAAAUGCGUAGAGAUCUGGAGGAAUACCGGUGGCGAAGGCGGCACCCUGGACAAAGACUGACGCUCAGGUGCGAAAGCGUGGGGAGCAAACAGG
rnacentral:rRNA from 1 species